rnacentral:lncRNA from 1 species
UUUCUUUUAUUUUUUAUUCUUUUGUUAUUUUUUUCCCCUGGAGAUUCAAGCUGGGAGAGAAAGGAGAGAUUCAGUGACAAGUUAUCAAUAUUUUCUAAAAGAAACCUAGCCAUUUAGUAAUAGAAGAAGGGUGUUGGGAAAAAGAGGCCGUGGAAUAAUAUUGGCGCCCCCAAUAAAUCCGUGAUCUGCUAAACAUCUUCUGGGUUAGAAAAUAGAAUUGAUCUGAAUUCCACAGCUGUGGCUUCUUCAAGAAGGCCCACCAGCUCUGCUGGAUUCCAGUUACCAACCAAGCCCUGGGCAGGCCCUUCAAAUGCAUCAUGGUCUUGUUUCUAUCCCCAGGCUGGUAAGUCAGUUACAUAAAAUUACAUGUUGUUUUCAGGAACCUGUAUUUGUGAUUUGAAGUUGGUCACUCCUUAAUUGGCUAACAGGUAUAAUUCUAGAAUUUUCCUAAUUAUUCCCAUGAAUAUAAAAUGUUUUGAACCUUGUAGGAUUUUUUUUUUUUUUUUUUUUUUCUCUAGGACGUGAUUUACUCCUGGCUGCUCUUUUUAAAAAAAUAAACUGGAUGAUGACCAAAAUCGUAGGAUGAAAAAAUAGCCCUGAUGAAAGUGUUCUGGACAACUCUUCCAAAGCAGCCACUGGAUUAUGGGAAAAGCAUUUACAGGGAGAAAGCACAGAGCAUGAUUUUCCAUGAAUAUUCUGAUUACAUAUACUAAUUCCAUCGUCAAUGCUAAGUACUUGGAAAAAACCAAAAAUGACAUUUUGCCCCCCAGUGAUCUCAAGACAAAAUCAGGUUAAAAUCAACACAAGGUCAACUUUGAAAUGGGGAAAGAGGAAAGUGACGUCACAAAAUAAACAUCAAGUCUUGUGUACAAGCAUCUGCAGAAGAGUUCAGCCUCACCACUUGGGUAAUGCUGUUGGAAUGUGGUCUGGGUUCACUGUGUUUGAAUGUAGGGCCAUUUAAUAUCAGCUAGUUCAGGAC